AAGUCGGAAUCGCUAGUAAUCGCGGAUCAGCAUGUCGCGGUGAAUACGUUCCCGGGUCUUGUACACACCGCCCGUCACACCAUGGGAGUGGGUUUUACCAGAAGUAGUUAGCCUAACCGCAAGGGGGGCGAUUACCACGGUAGGAUUCAUGACUGGGGUGAAGUCGUAACAAGGUAGCCGUAUCGGAAGGUGCGGCUGGAUCACCUCCUUUCAGA
rnacentral:rRNA from 1 species